UACGAAGGGGGCUAGCGUUGCUCGGAAUCACUGGGCGUAAAGCGCACAUAGGCGGGUCCUUAAGUCAGGGGUGAAAUCCUGGAGCUCAACUCCAGAACUGCCCUUGAUACUGAGGAUCUCGAGUUCGGGAGAGGUGAGUGGAACUGCGAGUGUAGAGGUGAAAUUCGUAGAUAUUCGCAAGAACACCAGUGGCGAAGGCGGCUCACUGGCCCGAUACUGACGCUGAGGUGCGAAAGCGUGGGGAGCAAACAGG
rnacentral:rRNA from 1 species